rnacentral:rRNA from 1 species
AUACGGAGGAUCCGAGCGUUAUCCGGAUUUAUUGGGUUUAAAGGGAGCGUAGGCGGACGCUUAAGUCAGUUGUGAAAGUUUGCGGCUCAACCGUAAAAUUGCAGUUGAUACUGGGUGUCUUGAGUACAGUAGAGGCAGGCGGAAUUCGUGGUGUAGCGGUGAAAUGCUUAGAUAUCACGAAGAACUCCGAUUGCGAAGGCAGCCUGCUGGACUGUAACUGACGCUGAUGCUCGAAAGGGUGGGUAUCAAACAGGAUUAGAUACCCUGGUAGUCCACACAGUAAACGAUGAAUACUCGCUGUUUGCGAUAUACAGUAAGCGGCCAAGCGAAAGCGUUAAGUAUUCCACCUGGGGAGUACGCCGGCAACGGUGAAACUCAAAUGAAUUGACGGGG